rnacentral:piRNA from 1 species
UCCAAAGCCCACAUAAGAAACCCAGAUGUCC